rnacentral:piRNA from 1 species
UGGUAAGGCAUGCUUGCCCCUCACUCAGU